GGAGGGGUGGCAGAGCGGUUGAAUGCACCGGUCUUGAAAACCGGCACGGGCGGUGACGUCCGUCGAGGGUUCGAAUCCCUCCCCCUCCGC
rnacentral:tRNA from 1 species